ACCUUUGACCACUCUUGUCUAAGGUAAAACACGACAUCCUGUCCGAUCUGUCAAGUUAAGCAACGUUGGGCUUGGUUAGUACUAGGAUCGGAGACGGCCUGGGAAUCCCAAGUGCUAUAAGCU
rnacentral:rRNA from 1 species